rnacentral:rRNA from 1 species
GACGAACGCUGGCGGCGUGCCUAAUACAUGCAAGUAGAACGCUGAAGGAGGAGCUUGCUCUUCUGGAUGAGUUGCGAACGGGUGAGUAACGCGUAGGUAACCUGCCUGGUAGCGGGGGAUAACUAUUGGAAACGAUAGCUAAUACCGCAUAACAGUAGAUGUUGCAUGACAUUUACUUAAAAGGUGCAAUUGCAUCACUACCAGAUGGACCUGCGUUGUAUUAGCUAGUUGGUGGGGUAACGGCUCACCAAGGCGACGAUACAUAGCCGACCUGAGAGGGUGAUCGGCCACACUGGGACUGAGACACGGCCCAGACUCCUACGGGAGGCAGCAGUAGGGAAUCUUCGGCAAUGGACGGAAGUCUGACCGAGCAACGCCGCGUGAGUGAAGAAGGUUUUCGGAUCGUAAAGCUCUGUUGUAAGAGAAGAACGAGUGUGAGAGUGGAAAGUUCACACUGUGACGGUAUCUUACCAGAAAGGGACGGCUAACCACGUG